rnacentral:misc_RNA from 1 species
AACAUCGCGCACCUGCGGGAACCUGCGGAAGGAUCAUUAAUGAUUGGUGGCUGUUGCUGACCAGUGUUUCUAGUAUGUGCACGCCACACCUUCAAUCCCACUUACACCUGUGCACCUUCUGUAAUAGAUCUAUGUGGAUACGGAGAUAUGAAAGUUUGCGCUCUCGUACUCUGUUGAAGCAGUCUACUACGUUUUUUUACACACACACAAUAGUCAUUGAAUGUAUUUUUUAUUCUUAUG